rnacentral:rRNA from 1 species
AUUGAACGCCGGCGGCAGGCUUAGCACAUGCAAGUCGAGCGGGCGAGGUUGCUUCGGUAACUGAGCUAGCGGCGGACGGGUGAGUAAAGCUUAGGAAUCUGCCUAUUAGUGGGGGACAACAUUCCGAAAGGGAUGCUAAUACCGCAUACGUCCUACGGGAGAAAGCAGGGGCUCUUUAUGACCUUGCGCUAAUAGAUGAGCCUAAGUCGGAUUAGCUAGUUGGUGGGGUAAAGGCCUACCAAGGCGACGAUCUGUAGCGGGUCUGAGAGGAUGAUCCGCCACACUGGGACUGAGACACGGCCCAGACUCCUACGGGAGGCAGCAGUGGGGAAUAUUGGACAAUGGGGGGAACCCUGAUCCAGCCAUGCCGCGUGUGUGAAGAAGGCCUUUUGGUUGUAAAGCACUUUAAGUGGGGAGGAGGCUUACCUGGUUAAUACCUGGGCUAAGUGGACGUUACCCACAGAAUAAGCACCGGCUAACUCUGUGCCAGCAGCCGCGGUAA